UGGUGCGAUCACAGCUCACUGUAGCCUUGAACUCCCAGGCUCAAGCGAUCCUCCCACCUAGGCCUUCUGAGUAAUUGAGACCAUAGAGGGUCUAAAGAGGAGCUACUUUGUCACUCAUCACUCGCUUGAAUAUUCAUCAGCAACAGAAGAGGAAGCUGAUCUGGGGGGUGCCGGUGGUUGUCUACCAUUCGUUCUAGGGACCUGUCUGCGCAAUUGGACUUCCUGCCAUGUCUCAUGGUGCCUCCCUGAUGUCUCCUCACCUGCAACUCCAAAUCCCAGCCACUCUCCGUCUGCAUCCCUCAGCUACAUAGUUCCCUUUCUGGUCCUCUGCAU